GGGUUGUGAGGUUAAGCGACUAAGCGUACACGGUGGAUGCCCUGGCAGUCAGAGGCGAUGAAGGGCGUGCUAAUCUGCGAUAAGCGCCGGUAAGGUGAUAUGAACCGUUAUAACCGGCGAUACCCGAAUGGGGAAACCCAGUGUGACUCGUCACACUAUCAUUAACUGAAUCCAUAGGUUAAUGAGGCGAACCGGGGGAACUGAAACAUCUAAGUACCCCGAGGAAAAGAAAUCAACCGAGAUUCCCCCAGUAGCGGCGAGCGAACGGGGAGGAGCCCAGAGCCUGAAUCAGCAUGUGUGUUAGUGGAAGCGUCUGGAAAGGCGCGCGAUACAGGGUGACAGCCCCGUACACAAAAGCGCAUGUGCUGUGAGCUCGAUGAGUAGGGCGGGACACGUGGUAUCCUGUCUGAAUAUGGGGGGACCAUCCUCCAAGGCUAAAUACUCCUGACUGACCGAUAGUGAACCAGUACCGUGAGGGAAAGGCGAAAAGAACCCCGGCGAGGGGAGUGAAAAAGAACCUGAAACCGUGUACGUACAAGCAGUGGGAGCACCCUUCGGGGUGUGACUGCGUACCUUUUGUAUAAUGGGUCAGCGACUUAUAUUCUGUAGCAAGGUUAACCGUAUAGGGGAGCCGCAGGGAAACCGAGUCUUAAUUGGGCGUUAAGUUGCAGGGUAUAGACCCGAAACCCGGUGAUCUAGCCAUGGGCAGGUUGAAGGUUGGGUAACACUAACUGGAGGACCGAACCGACUAAUGUUGAAAAAUUAGCGGAUGACCUGUGGCUGGGGGUGAAAGGCCAAUCAAACCGGGAGAUAGCUGGUUCUCCCCGAAAGCUAUUUAGGUAGCGCCUCGUGAAUUCAUCUCCGGGGGUAGAGCACUGUUUCGGCUAGGGGGCCAUCCCGGCUUACCAACCCGAUGCAAACUGCGAAUACCGGAGAAUGUUAUCACGGGAGACACACGGCGGGUGCUAACGUCCGUCGUGAAGAGGGAAACAACCCAGACCGCCAGCUAAGGUCCCAAAGUCAUGGUUAAGUGGGAAACGAUGUGGGAAGGCCCAGACAGCCAGGAUGUUGGCUUAGAAGCAGCCAUCAUUUAAAGAAAGCGUAAUAGCUCACUGGUCGAGUCGGCCUGCGCGGAAGAUGUAACGGGGCUAAACCAUGCACCGAAGCUGCGGCAGCGACACUGUGUGUUGUUGGGUAGGGGAGCGUUCUGUAAGCCUGCGAAGGUGGCCUGUGAGGGUUGCUGGAGGUAUCAGAAGUGCGAAUGCUGACAUAAGUAACGAUAAAGCGGGUGAAAAGCCCGCUCGCCGGAAGACCAAGGGUUCCUGUCCAACGUUAAUCGGGGCAGGGUGAGUCGACCCCUAAGGCGAGGCCGAAAGGCGUAGUCGAUGGGAAACGGGUUAAUAUUCCCGUACUUGGUGUUACUGCGAAGGGGGGACGGAGAAGGCUAUGUUGGCCGGGCGACGGUUGUCCCGGUUUAAGCGUGUAGGUGUGUGUUCCAGGUAAAUCCGGUUCACUUUAACACUGAGGCGUGACGACGAGGCACUACGGUGCUGAAGCAACAAAUGCCCUGCUUCCAGGAAAAGCCUCUAAGCAUCAGGUAACAUCAAAUCGUACCCCAAACCGACACAGGUGGUCAGGUAGAGAAUACCAAGGCGCUUGAGAGAACUCGGGUGAAGGAACUAGGCAAAAUGGUGCCGUAACUUCGGGAGAAGGCACGCUGACACGUAGGUGAAGUGAUUUACUCACGGAGCUGAAGUCAGUCGAAGAUACCAGCUGGCUGCAACUGUUUAUUAAAAACACAGCACUGUGCAAACACGAAAGUGGACGUAUACGGUGUGACGCCUGCCCGGUGCCGGAAGGUUAAUUGAUGGGGUCAGCGCAAGCGAAGCUCCUGAUCGAAGCCCCGGUAAACGGCGGCCGUAACUAUAACGGUCCUAAGGUAGCGAAAUUCCUUGUCGGGUAAGUUCCGACCUGCACGAAUGGCGUAAUGAUGGCCAGGCUGUCUCCACCCGAGACUCAGUGAAAUUGAACUCGCUGUGAAGAUGCAGUGUACCCGCGGCAAGACGGAAAGACCCCGUGAACCUUUACUAUAGCUUGACACUGAACAUUGAGCCUUGAUGUGUAGGAUAGGUGGGAGGCUUUGAAGUGUGGACGCCAGUCUGCAUGGAGCCGACCUUGAAAUACCACCCUUUAAUGUUUGAUGUUCUAACGUGGACCCGUAAUCCGGGUUGCGGACAGUGUCUGGUGGGUAGUUUGACUGGGGCGGUCUCCUCCUAAAGAGUAACGGAGGAGCACGAAGGUUGGCUAAUCCUGGUCGGACAUCAGGAGGUUAGUGCAAUGGCAUAAGCCAGCUUGACUGCGAGCGUGACGGCGCGAGCAGGUGCGAAAGCAGGUCAUAGUGAUCCGGUGGUUCUGAAUGGAAGGGCCAUCGCUCAACGGAUAAAAGGUACUCCGGGGAUAACAGGCUGAUACCGCCCAAGAGUUCAUAUCGACGGCGGUGUUUGGCACCUCGAUGUCGGCUCAUCACAUCCUGGGGCUGAAGUAGGUCCCAAGGGUAUGGCUGUUCGCCAUUUAAAGUGGUACGCGAGCUGGGUUUAGAACGUCGUGAGACAGUUCGGUCCCUAUCUGCCGUGGGCGCUGGAGAACUGAGGGGGGCUGCUCCUAGUACGAGAGGACCGGAGUGGACGCAUCACUGGUGUUCGGGUUGUCAUGCCAAUGGCACUGCCCGGUAGCUAAAUGCGGAAGAGAUAAGUGCUGAAAGCAUCUAAGCACGAAACUUGCCCCGAGAUGAGUUCUCCCUGAGACUUAGAGUCUCCUGAAGGAACGUUGAAGACGACGACGUUGAUAGGCCGGGUGUGUAAGCGCAGCGAUGCGUUGAGCUAACCGGUACUAAUGAACCGUGAGGCUUAACCUUACAACGCCGAAG
rnacentral:rRNA from 1 species